GACAGUGAUAGCACAUCGGAAAAAAAUGUUACAGAAGUGACAGUGAGUUGGGUGAUUGUUUCCAAAAAUGAGUCUGUAUGGCUGCAGAAAUUGGAUUAUGUGAUGCUUUGGGUGCUUGUGCUCCAAAUUUUGUUUCACUUAGUAGCACAUUGGUAGUGUGUGUUUCCCCUCUCCAAGCAAAUUAAAGGUGAAAUUACCAAUCAAAUUUAUUUUUAAAAAAUGCAAAUUAGUAUAUUUAUGGUAAGCUUCAGUGCAAUGCACUCAAAAUAUUUUUCUGUUAUGAAUUAGAUAGGCUAAACAUUUCAGAAAUAGUUUCCAAAUAACUUUAGCUCGCAGAAUUACUUUAUUCAACAGGAAACACUGGCUUGGAUGGAAAGGAUUGUGACUGGGGGACAAAAGUUCUAAGAAUUUGGUUGAGGAAGUAACAGAAGACUUCUUACCAUGGAAUACCACAGUGUGUUGGAAUUGUAUCACAAUAUGAAAAUUGUUGCAUAAGGAAAAUGCUGUAUGUCUUAAAGAAGUUGUGCAACAGAACAAUGGCUUUGGAUCUGAGGAUACUGCUCCCAUGCGGUGGUCUUUUGUUAUAAGUUGGAGAAAACCUCACAUGCUAUUAGUCAAGAAUCACUAGAGAAGACAGUGGUUUGCUUACGUUUUCUGAUUGGAUGAAGUAGCUGAACUAAAUGGAAUAUAUUGUCGUUCUGCACUUAUUAAGAAACUUAUAUCACCACCCAUCUGCCAAAAUGGACUCUGGGUGGCGAACAAAAUCAAAAACAGUAAGAUGACCAUUUAAACAGUAAACAAUGUUGAAGCCCAAUAAAACUUGCAUUCAUCCCCCAGCCACCCCAUGCCAGCUCUAUCGACUUCUUUACUCCAGUGCCUGGGGGGAAAAAGCCAGAUCUUCACCACUUUCUGAAGGCCGAACUGUAUUUCCGGGGGAAGGCUGUUCCUUAAGGUAGGUGCCAUGACAAAGAGGGCACACUUAUGAGGCUCUACCAGGUGACACUGCUUCACUGAGGGGUGGUGUAAUUUAUGACUCUGGGUGGUAUACAUCAGUAAAGAUUAAAAUUAAAAUCAAACUAUCACUAAAAAUCCAAUUAACAACCCCUAUAAGUAAAAAGGAAUAGGGGUGGCCUUCAUAGCUGUUUAUAGUCUGUGUCUACUGACUUAUCUUACAAGACAUUUUGAGAAUUGGUCAAGUGGAAUUAGUCAAAUAGGAUCCUUUCUUUCUUUAUACAUAUUUUAUGGAUGAAGUUUGGAAACAAAUCCAACACUAACACAAUUUUAAAAAAGAUAAUAUAACAAAGUUGUGUUAGAAAUGUAUUGCACAUAGCAAUCUUUGUAGAUUAUAUUUAUUUUGAAUGUACAGGUAGUCCUCGUUUACCAACUGUCUCAUU